rnacentral:rRNA from 1 species
UACGUAGGCAGCAAGCGUUGUUCGGAGUUACUGGGCGUAAAGAGUGCGUAGGUGGUGCCCUAAGUCUGUUGUGAAAUCUCCCGGCUUAACUGGGAGGGUGCGGUGGAAACUGGGGUGCUUGAGUGUGGGAGAGGUAAGCGGAAUUCCUGGUGUAGCGGUGAAAUGCGUAGAUAUCAGGAGGAACACCGGUGGUGUAGACGGCCUACUGGACCACGACUGACACUGAGGCACGAAAGCCAGGGGAGCAAACGGG